rnacentral:ncRNA from 1 species
GACGGCGUGGGCCCGACAGGGGCCCGAGGGAGGAAGCCCGGUGCGAUUCCGGCGCGGUCCCGCCACUGUGAGCCCCACCCAGGUGGGGUGAGCCAGGAACUCCUGCCGUCCAUACGACCA